GAGGAACUUUAAGAUGAAAACACUUAGUCACAUUCAGGCACAUUUUACUGUAUGCAAGCAGGCUUCUUUACUGCCUGUUCUUACCCACAAUCCUUUGCACAGCAGGUAUGAGGGGUUGAGGAAGUAGCACGAAGCCUCAGUAGAAUCCUGAAUGUAACAGCGUGUACUUUGUGAGGAAGCGGCAGUUUGUCAUGAAGGUAAAAGGUUUAACACGCAGCUUCAGACUGAUACGAGUAAGUUGUUCCGCCCAAACAGGUUCAACCAGAUCCUCAAAGUGGAGAGAAGACUAAAAACACUCUGACUCUGUUGUCUUAGUGGAUGUUUUUAUUCAACAUAAACUCUUCACCACAUUUGUUACAAAGGUUUCUGCUUCAUCACGUGUUCCCUACUAGUCGAGGACCUUUGACCUUUGUGAACACGGCUCACACUGACACUCAGUCAACCAGUCAGACCGCAUACUUUGAUGGUGACGUGAGGAAACACCCUCUCUGAUGAAGGACAACAAGCUCCAACAAGCUGCGUCGCUUCACUCCGUCUGAUGGAAGCUGAAGUGAAGCACGGAGCUCCUUUUCUACACGGACCUGCUGAGGACAGAAGAGAGCUGCUCACUGAGGAAGUUCAUGUCUACGAGCUCAGCAGAGAGGAGCUGCUGUUGGUCUGAAUGAUGAAGAAGAGGAGCUCAGUCUGAUCUGGGGUCUGUGAGGACUGUUACUGAUGAGGAGGGGAAGGUAGCAGACGGAGGGGCACUAGGACCCAGCAGGGACCACAGAGCUCACCUGGGCCUUUGCUCCUCAAACACACCUGAGAGACGCUCUGUUUGUCUCACCUGCUGCUUCAGUCCUUAAGUCCACAAAGCUUCAUGUUCACUUCUUCAUCUGCUUUAAACACAUUUAGUCACUUUUUAGUGUUUGAAUGUGUUUGUUUUCUUUAGUGUUCAGUUUUUCUCUCAUUGAUCAGCAGGUCGUAGUCGACCUUUUGCUAACUGAUCACAUGGUGAAGUGAAUCGUCCCAUCAGGAGAAAGCUUCCCCAUGUUACCAUGGUAACCACCAUGUGUCCUAUGAGGACAGCUACAUGUCCUCUCUCUGGACUCUGAAGGAGAUCAAGAGAAGAAACGGCACAGCUCCAUCUGCUGGACGAUGAGUGAUGAUGUUCAUCUUUAUAAUACGGGUGAAUGAAGUAAAGCGUUCUGAUGGUUUGUGAGUGAGUUACAGGUGUACUGUACCUGUUUACAUUGACCUAAGCGUUCCAUAUCGGUCCACACUCCAAAUAACCGGUGGAUCUGAUUUGAACUGUUAGUUGUCAUUUCACUUUUUUGACACUUGUUUUCAGACGCACAAAUGAAUGUUGAUCUCCUGGCUGAUGAACAACAAACGUCUGGUGCGAGGCGAACACAGCCUCAUGUACAGGGACUGUUUCCUCUAUACUACUGAACUGAGAUACACAACGUUUGGUGGCUGAAAAGCAGCAAUUUACUUCCAAUUUAUAACUUUGCUGGCCACCGUGUUCUAAAAGCAAUUAGGUACUUGAAGCAGUACUUUAACAAAUACCCUUGAACUGUAACAUUGACAAUAGUACUGCCUCAAGUCUCAGUGUUUCCCCUCCAUUAGAACAGUAAUUCAGAAUAAUUCUCCCCCGCUGAAAAAGUGCAAUUAAAAAGUAAAAUGUAGAUAUUUGUUUCUGUUUUCCACGCACGGUUCCACACUGACCGGCUUGCAGCAGCGGUGCAGAGAGAACUGAAUUGCCUGAACCAUUUGACAGACUUUCCACCCCCGACGUUGUAAACCACCUUAUUGCUUCAUUAAAACACUACGUUUAUAGGAUGGACAUUCAAAAUGACGUCUCUUGACACGUUAACAGGG
ensembl:lncRNA